UGGAGGAGGCACAGGCACAGAGGCGAGGCCACAGCAGCCCUCCCGCACUGACACGCAGCACAAACAUCGAAGUGGAAGAAGGCCCCGCAGCUGCAGGGGGCAAAUUCCACACAGUCAUCGACUUUCCGUCUGAAAGGUAAAGAGGACUUUCUUUCCCAGCACCUUCCUAUCAGGCGUGGUUGGGUGGGCUUUUGUGGGUUUUUCUCCACAAGUGCUAGUGCACAAACUUGCAGAAGCUACGUGACGUUAAUGGUGCGUGUGGUGUUGUACUCCGUCUCCGCUCCCUUUGGACUCUGAGAUUCAACUAACGCACAGUUGCCUGACGGGCUCAGUGUAGCCACCAAAGGGGGCCAUUCCUUCCUCGCUGAGCAGGCAGUCACAAGUUGGAUCAAGGCACACGGACCUCUAUCCUGGCCUGUGCUGGCUGUACCUGGAAACGUUGGGGUUUUCCAGCUUUCCGGGCCGCGUGCCUGAAACCAAUUCCAGUUCUCCUCUAAGCAGAGCUGUUGGUCAGACUUGCUGGCACUAGAGACUAAACAUGGCAGUGAGGUGAGGCCGAUGAGCGGUUAAUGCCAGAGUCAGAGAUGCUUCUGAAUUCCCUCCAUGGCUGCACGGUUCCUCAGAAAGCAGUUACGCCUGCCAGCUCAAUCAAAGCCAUCCCUUCGAUGCUGUCCUGGACAGCUGUGCAGCCUCUGCUCGCAUGCUCUGCAUCCGGGUUGACAUGGCUGAGGGGAAUGUAGCCAGCAAGACUCCAGGGCUGAGCUCUAGGAAUGGAACCAUUGUCAACCGUGUGAAUCAGAGCGAGCUUCUAAGUUGUGUUUCAGCAGGAACCAGGCAGUGCUAGGAACAAGCAAGUGUUGGCAAGAGCUCAGGGCAGCUCUUCCCUCGCCCUGCACCAUGCACGACUCACACCGCUCACUCUUUUCUCCCUCCAGACCAAGUCCACCCAGCAGGGUGAAGGAAUCCCCAGCAUGCAGUUGGUGUUCCUGCUUCAGGCCAAGAAAGCCAUCCUCUGUGGCCAAACGCCAACUGCAGUGCGAUGCCAGGGAGCCCUCAGAAACAGAGGUGGUGGUCCUGGCAGGUAAGGGUGCACAUCCAGCUGUCAAAACACUGCUUGUCAGCGCCAUCGAAUUCAUGCUUGCAGUGGGCUUGUUCCUCCUCCUAGCGUUCAAGCCCGUGCCUACCAUCUUCGGUUCAGCCCUGUCUUUCUUUCCCAAAUGAGUCUCUGGUGAAGUCAUGAUCUGGACCUGCCGGAGCACACCCCUCUCGUGCCUUUCCCCGAGUAGU
rnacentral:lncRNA from 1 species